AACGAACGCUGGCGGCGCGUCUUACCCAUGCAAGUCGAGCGGCAGGCAGCAAUGCCGAGAGCGGCGGACUGGUGAGUAACACGUGGAUAACGUACCCCGAUGUCCGGGACAGCCUGUAGAAAUAGAGGGUAAUACCGGAUAGAUCACUGUUUACGUGAGGUAGACAGCGGGACAGGAGCUUCGGCUCCGCGACGGGAUCGGUCUGCGGCCCAUCAGCUGGACGGCGGGGUAAAGGCCCGCCGUGGCGAGGACGGGUAUCCGGCCUGAGAGGGCGGACGGACACAUUGGGACUGAGAUACGGCCCAGACUCCUACGGGAGGCAGCAGGUAAGAAUAUUCCGCAAUGGGGGGAACCCUGACGGAGCGACGCCGCGUGAACGAAGAAGGCCGGAAGGUUGUAAAGUUCUUUUCUGUCCGAGGAAUAAGUUUCGGAGGAAAUGCCGGGACGGUGACGGUAGGGCAGGAAUAAGCACCGGCUAAUUACGUG
rnacentral:rRNA from 1 species